AUGCUGUCCGUGCGGAGGCGGCAGGAGGAUGCUGGCGGCGCCGCCGGCAUGGCGGACCACGCCGAGCUGGAGGAGGGGGAGGCCUACGCCGACGACAUGCCCCCCUUCGACGACCCGGACGUCUCCCUCGCUUACAUUGAUGAAAAACUACAAAAUGUACUAGGUCAUUUUCAAAAGGACUUUGAAGGAGGCGUUUCUGCAGAGAAUCUAGGAUCAAAAUUUGGUGGAUAUGGCUCAUUUUUGCCAACCUACCAGCGUUCCCCCCUUCUGCCCCACACUAGAACUCCACCUAAGGUGGCAAAUGCUAGCUCAAGAUCUCCUUAUCACCAGUCUACUGAGGAUGUGUCUCAGAACCCUCCGGCUAUGGCCGUUCCAUCUGUUUCCCAGAAUAAUGGUUCUGUGGCUCCUUUUUCUGGUGAUUCAAUUAAAAAGGAAAGAUGCGAAAGCACAGCGUCUAAAAGGGGCUCUAGCACCCAUGAUCCUUCAAAUGGCCCAUCUAAGUCUAGCGACCAGAAUAGAUUUAAAGUACGGAUAAAAGUUGGUUCCGACAAUGUCUUGGCAAGAAAUAAUGCAGCUAUUUACAGUGGUUUGGGCCUUGACAUUUCUUCACCUUCAUCUGUGGAGGAAAGCCCUGAUGGCCACGGGGGCCUCUCCCCGGAAUUUAGCAAUGUGCAACUUGAAUCUCCCCGGACCAUUCUUCAGAUCAUGACAUGCUUUUCAGUUCCUGGAGGGUACUUGUUAUCCCCUCUUCAUGGCAGUUUGUUGCAACUGACAAAGAAGGUUGUGCCUUCAUUGAAGAAAUGGGAAACAAGCUUGGAGAUAGAAAAUGCACAGGAAGCAUAUGAAGGGCAUGUGGUUAAGAAAAUGAAGUCUGAUGGUAAGAAAAAGAAACCCACAGAUAUGAAGAGGUCAAAUAACAGAAACGAUGUCAGUGCAUUUAUGAAAAAUGAGAUCGAUGUAGAAACACUUGCUGGCCAGAAGAUUGCAUCAGAAGCUCUCAGCAUACCGUCUAGUCCCAGAGGCAUGGAUGCAAACAGCAAUUGUCAAUUUGAAGAAGAAGCAACAGGAAAAUCUUUGGAAAGAAACAAAGAUGAUCGAUUGAAAGAAUGGGCUGCAAACAGCAACAGCAAGACAAUCAAAGCUGAAACUGUCAAAGAGGAUACUACCGACUGUUUAGCAAGUGGUGGUUUUGGCAGCUCAGAAUUGGAACUUUCAGCAGCAAAGAAGGAGCUGAAACCUGUGACAGAAAAGACAGCAUUGACUUCAGAAGAGAUGAAUACAACCAGUGACACAGAUUUUCUGUUGGAUAGGAAACAUGAAAGAAAAAUAAAGCCUGAGAGUAAAAGCAAUCCUUCUGUCGUUAACUUUGAAGAAAACGCAGUUAUAGAUGAAAAAGCUCCUGCUGUUUGCAGAAGCAUGGAGAAGGUUACUAGCAAAGAGGCUUCACUUUAUGAUACAAAUGUGAAAAAUAACACCAAGAGUGAGGCCAAAAGAAUACACAGGGAACAAAAGAAGAAUGCUCCAACAUCUUCUGAUCUUCUGGAUGUUGACAAGGGUGCUCGUUCUUCUGCUGGAGUUAAAGAGAGGAAAAACGAUUCUCACUCCAAAUCUAGCCACUCAGGGAAGAAACCCAAAGCACAACCACAUAGAGAUGUCAGGGACAGUUUGGCAGAUGGAUCCCAUGGAUCCAAAGAGCAGGAUAUAUUGGAGAAUGGAGUUGAAUUGGGAGAGUUGCAGCCAAAGGAAAAAUAUUGGAUCAAAAGGGAUUCUGACAUGCUUGGGGCAUCAAAGAGGGAGAUUUCAUCUAGUGCAAAGCAUGACAGACAUACAGCUUCUGAGGAGCAGAAGAUGCAUGUACCUCCAUCUUCUGUAUCAACUGCAAAUGCAGCUCCUGCACUUCAAGCACCUGUCGUGAUAGAGGAACAUUGGGUACAAUGUGACAUAUGUCAGAAAUGGCGUCUCCUACCAUAUGAGUCGGAUCCUGAUACUCUUCCAAAGGAAUGGAAAUGUAGCAUGCAACUGUGGCUACCUGGGAUGAAUAGGUGCGAUGUUGGUGAGGAGGAGACUACAAAUGCUCUGAAUGCACUAUAUGUCAUUCCACCCCCUGCCAAUGGUAUUCCUUCAGUUGGUCAUCCUCAUGCUGCUUCUUCUGGACCGGCAACAGCCAACACGUUCAGUAUAAAUGGACAUGCUGAACAGAGUAGGAAAAGGAAGAGUUUUCCAGGUGAUGGAAGUGCUUUGGUUGACAGUUCUCACCCAACACAAGCUUCAGCUUAUUCAACGAUCACCCAACCCCCUCCUAGAGUUAGAAGUACUGCUGAUACUAACCACUAUCCUUCUGAGAGAGAUUCUGUGAGCAAAUCAGUUGACGUUUCCACUGAAAAGAAGAAGUCCAAGAGCAAGAAUCGUGGCAGCUAUUCUGAUGGAGGAGAUCUUGUGGAAAGAUCCAAGAAGCAUUCAAAAGGAAAAGGCAAGAGAGAGAUGGAUUAUGGUGAAUACAAAGCUUCUAAGAAAAUUAAAAAGGAGGAGCGGCAUCGUUCUAGCAGAGACCGGAACCCUGAAUGUGAUUUAGCUAGUGGAGACGUUUCUGAUGAGGCCAAGGCUUUUCUUGCAAAGGCAAAGAGUUUGGGUGAGAAGGGUGAUAUUUCUUCAUUGAAGCAAAAAAGUGUUGCGAGGUCUGAUCGUUUGGAGAAGUCCAAGAGAGACAAGGAUGAUGAUAUAGCUCUUCCUGAAGAUAGGAACAAGGAACAAUACCAAACCUCAGAUGUACAGAGAUCAGACGUUUCUAGCAAGAAGAGGAUAGUGAAGGAAUGGGAGGAGAGUCAGCAUAGUUCAAUAGCUCAGGUGAGCAGAGGAACCACAGUGAAUCACAGCUCUGCUGCCAAGGAAACCCAUAAGGAUCAAAACUUAAAGGAAACAAAGUCCAAGCCGAUAAAGUCUGAAGAACUGUAUUCCAUGACGGAUUCUAAAUUAGGAAAAGGUCUGCACUCUAAUCAGAUUUCUUAUUAUGGUGGUCAUGUAAACAAUGAACUUGUGGAGGAUAGCACACACUUUGCUGGUAAAAGAGGUCCAUCCGAAGUAUUAGAUAAGCGAUCUUCUGAACAUGCUUUGGACUUAGCUGGAGCCGCUUCUAGUGAUGUUCCGACCACAGCAAUAGCUUCAAGUUCUUCAAAAGCUUCAGGCUCUCAGAAAAAGAAAAAUAACUCCCAAGUUGCAAAGACUUCACCGAUUGAAUCAGUUUCCUCAUCACCACCGAGGAACUCUAACAUUGAUAAGUUCUCCCAGAACAGAAUAGUGGAGAAAGAUGGGCCUAUGAAUGCUAACCCAGGCACCAUGCCGAGCUCAGUAAAGUAUCUAAAUACUGAAGUUGAUAUAGUAGACAAUGUUCGGCAGGCUAAGAAGUCCAAGGAGAGUUUGCUUGCAAGUGAACCUGUCUUACAUGGCUCUUCACAAGGAAAUUCUGACAAAGAUGAUGAAUUAGUUCAGUUAACUCAAGGCCAUGCAUCCGAAAGGUUUUCAUUGAGAAAGGGUUUGGAUGAUGAUCAGCAGCAUGCAUCUGGGAGAAAGGACUCCACUGUGAAUGGCUCCAGCACAGCGAGGGGUUAUAACCACCUGCAUUCUGGUGAUAAAAAUAACUUGCGCACUGAUGGCUCUUUAGUGCAACCUAGGACUGCAGCUUCGGGCUCGAAAGGAGAUUUGAUUGCAAGUGAAAGUAAGAAAACUGCAGCUCCUAUUCAAGAUAGAAAUGGAUUAACUCAUUGUGCUCUGGAUGGAAAUCCUAAACCAGAGGUGCCAUCUGGAAAAGAUAAAUCUUAUCCCAAGAGUAACAAGCAAGAUAUGGAGAAGCCCAAAGCCCAAAUCGCUCCUUCACCUCUGAAAGAAACCCACUCCACUCCAGUAAAAUCUAAUGCGUCAAAAUUGACACCACAGUCAAGGCGAAGCAGUGAUGAAAAUGGAGGGCAACAGCGUGUUGCCAAACAGGGAACUUCAAAUCCUACGGAUGGGAAAGAUGGUAAUUCAACUGCAUAUGCUCUCAAAGAAGCUCGAGAUUUAAAGCACAAGGCUAACCGUUUGAAGAAAGAAGGAAAAGAACUUGAAAGCACAAGGCUCUAUUUUGAGGCAGCCUUAAAAUUUCUGCAUGUAGCAUCACUUCUGGAACCUCCUGGUAUUGAUGGUCUGAAACAAGGCGAUGCAGCUCAGAGCAUGUAUUCUGAUACUGCAAAACUCUGCAACUUUGUUGGUCAUGAAUAUGAAAGGUGCAAGAAGAUGGCCGCUGCUGCUUUAGCAUAUAAAUGUGUUGAAGUAGCUUAUCUCAAGGCUGCAUACUACAAAUACCCUAUUGCAAGUAAGGACCGGCAGGUGUUGCAGGCAGUUGUACAGACUACACCAGGCGAAUCACCAUCAUCUUCAGCAUCAGACAUUGAUAACUUAAAUAACAAUGGAUUAUCUAAGAUGGCCCCUUCAAACAAGGAUGCUAAUUCACCCCAAGUUGCUGGGAACCAUUUAUUACUGGCCGUUCGCAAUCAACCACACCUGACAAGGUUACUAGCUUAUACAAAUGAUGUCAAUUCUGCCUUUGAGGCAACUCGGAAAUCACAGAUGGCAAUUGCUUCUGCUGCUGGCAACCAUGAAAAGGGAGUGGAUGGUCUUUCUUCAGUAAAAACAGUUCUGGAUUUUAACUUCAGAAGCGUGAAUGAUCUACUCAGACUUGUGCGGAUUUCAAUGGAGUCUAUCAGCUGCUGA
rnacentral:rRNA from 1 species